GAUGAACGCUGGCGGCGUGCUUAACACAUGCAAGUCGAACGGUGAACGAGGGAGCUUGCUCCCUCCGGAUCAGUGGCGAACGGGUGAGUAACACGUGAGCAAUCUGCCCUGGACUGUGGGAUAAGCGUUGGAAACGACGUCUAAUACCGGAUACGAGACGCGAAGGCAUCUUGAGCGUCUGGAAAGAAAUUCGGUCCAGGAUGAGCUCGCGGCCAGUCAGGUAGGUGGUGAGGUAACGGCUCCCCAAGCCUACGACGGGUAGCCGGCCUGAGAGGUUGACCGGCCACACGGGGACUGAGACACGGCCCAGACUCCUACGGGAGGCAGCAGUGGGGAAUAUUGCACAAUGGGCGCAAGCCUGAUGCAGCACCGCCGCGUGAGGGACGACGGCCUUCGGGUUGUAAACCUCUUUUAGCAGGGAAGAAGCGAAAGUGACGGUACCUGCAGAAAAAGCACCGGCUAACUACGUGCCAGCAGCCGCCGUAACAC
rnacentral:rRNA from 1 species